GACGAACGCUGGCGGCGUGCUUAACACAUGCAAGUCGAACGGAAAGGCCCCUUUGGGGGUACUCGAGUGGCGACCGGGUGAGUAACACGUGAGUAACCUGCCCUUGACUUCGGGAUAACUUCAGGAAACUGGGGCUAAUACCGGAUAGGAAUCCUUGCUGCAUGGUGGGGGUUGGAAAGCUUCGGCGGUUUUGGAUGGACUCGCGGCUUAUCAGCUUGUUGGUGGGGUAGGGGCUUACCAAGGCUUUGACGGGUAGCCGGCCUGAGAGGGCGACCGGCGACAUUGGGACUGAGGUACGGCCCAGACUCCUACGGGAGGCAGCAGUGGGGAAUAUUGCACAAUGGGCGGAAGCCUGAUGCAGCAACGCCGCGUGCGGGAUGACGGCCUUCGGGUUGUAAACCGCUUUCAGCAGGGGCGAAGCUUGUGGUGACGGUACCUGCAGAAGAAGCACCGGCUAACUACGU
rnacentral:rRNA from 1 species